AUAAUAAUAAGAAGAAGAAUAUUACAAAUUGUCAUGCAAUUAUUAAUGUGCAUGAAUAGUACUCCACAUCAUCAUCACUAUUAUACACCCCAAUACAUGUGACGUGAUACAAAAUUAAAUGCUAAUUGUUUCAAAACACGUGCUGUAAAAUAAUGCAUUAUGAUAGGUCAUUUGCUCAUCCAAACGAUUUCCACCGUACACCAAUUCUCAAUGAUGGCUGACCUGGCGCUUUUAGAAGACACAUAUGCGCCCUUGAGAAGGGAAAGAGUAUUUCAGGAUAGGCGAGAUCUUCUGAAUGAAUCAGAUGAAUGGCUGAUGAGCAGAUUCCGUCUUCCAAGACGGCACCCACGAUGCCUUCAUUUAUUAGCACAGCAGCGUGCGCAGACGGCUGCAGGAGGGCGCAUUGAGGGGUCAUGGUUAUCUUUUAGGUGACAGGGGUUAUCCUCUUUUAGACUUUUUGAUCACCCCUGUGCCAAACCCCGUGAUGCAUCAGGAGCGCAACGUCAACCCCACGCACGCACGAACACGAGCCAUUGUGGAGCGCUGCGUGGGGCUCCUAAAAAGGUAGAUAGCUCUGCCUGGCACACGCGGGGGGCACGUUGCUCUAUUCGCCAAAGAAGGUGUGCAACAUCAUUUUGGCAUGUGCCGUCUUGCACAACAUGGCCAUUUGACGCGCUGGCCCCAAACCCAGAAGUGCCAGUGCAACAGAGGGCAGCACCACCGGCUUUAGGAGCUGUUCAGCUCAGACAGGACCUUGUUCGCCGGUUUUAAGGGACCUCAUCCGUCAGGACCCUUUGCCGUGGCGCACGGGAGGCUGGUGGACGGGCCUCGGCUUCCCCCGCUUGCACCUGCUCAGGCUCUGGGUGGGGCGCAAGGAUAGGCUCAGGCUCCUGGAUGGGCUGAGGGGGAGAUGCCUCGAGGGCGCUGGGGCCUGCAGUGCCAUCAUCUGCAAAA